rnacentral:lncRNA from 1 species
GAAAAAUUCAAUUUAGGGUUUAAAACCCUAAUGCUGACUGAAUGGAAAAAUUCAGUUUAGGGUUUAAAACCCUAAUGCUGACUGAAUGGAAAAAUUCAGUUUAGGGUUUAAAACCCUAAUGCUGACUACAGGAAAGAGUUCAGUUUAGGGUUUAAAACCCUAAUGCUGACUAAAUGGGGAAAGUUCAGUUUAGGGUUUUAAACCUUAAUGCUGACUGAAUGGAAAAAUUCAGUUUAGGGUUUAAAACCCUAAUGCUGACUGAAUGGAAAAAUUCAGUUUAGGGUUUAAAACCCUAAUGCUGAUUUAAAGGAAAAAGUGCAGUUUAGGGUUUUAAACCCUAAUGCUGACUAAAGGAAAAGUUCAGUUUAGGGUUUAAAACCCUAAUGCUGACUGAAUGGAAAAAUUCAGUUUAGGGUUUAAAACCCUAAUGCUGAUUUAAAGGAAAAAGUGCAGUUUAGGGUUUUAAACCCUAAUGCUGACUAAAGGAAAAGUUUAGUUUAGGGUUUAAAACCCCUAAUGCUGACUGAAUGGAAAAAUUCAGUUUAGGGUUUAAAACCCUAAUGCUGAUUUAAAGGAAAAAGUGCAGUUUAUGGUUUAAAACCCUAAUGCUGACUAAAGGAAAGGUUCAGUUUAGGGUUUAAAACCCUAAUGCUGACGGAAUGGAAACGUUCAGUUUAGGGUUUAAACCCUAAUGCUGACUGAAUGGAAAAAUUCAGUUUAGGGUUUAAAACCCUAAUACUGAUUUAAAGGAAAAAGUUCAGUUUAGGGUUUAAAACCCUAAUGCUGGCUAAAGGAAAGGUUCAGUUUAGGGUUUAAAACCCUAAUGCUGACUAAAUGGAAAAAGUUCAGUUUAGGGUUUAAAACCCUAAUGCUGAUUUAAAGGAAAAAGUGCAGUUUAGGGUUUAAAACCCUAAUGCUGACUAAAGGAAAGGUUCAGUUUAGGGUUUAAAACCCUAAUGCUGACUGAAUGGAAAAAUUCAGUUUAGGGUUUAAAACCCUAAUGCUGAUUUAAAGGAAAAAGUGCAGUUUAUGGUUUAAAACCCUAAUGCUGACUAAAUGGAAAAAGUUCAGUUUAGGGUUUAAAACCCUAAUGCUGACUGAAUGGAAAAGUUCAUUUAGGGUUUAAAACUCUAAUGCUGACUAAAUGGAAAAAGUUCAGUUUAGGGUUUAAAACCCUAAUGCUGACUAAAUGGAAAAGUUCAGUUUAGGGUUUAAAACCCUAAUGCUGACUAAAUGGAAAAGUUCAGUUUAGGGUUUAAAACCCUAAUGCUGACUAAAUGGAAAAAGUUCAGUUUAGGGUUUAAAUCCCUAAUGCUGACUGAAUGGAAAAGUUCAGUUUAGGGUUUAAAACCCUAAUGCUGACUGAAUGGAAAAGUUCAGUUUAGGGUUUAAAACCCUAAUGCUGACUGAAUGGAAAAAUUCAGUUUAAGGUUUAAAACCCUAAUGCUGACUGAAUGGAAAAAUUCAGUUUAGGGUUUAAAACCCUAAUGCUGACUGAAUGGAAAAAGUUCAGUUUAGGGUUUAAAACCCUAAUGCUGACUGAAUGGAAAAAUUCAGUUUAGGGUUUAAAACCCUAAUGCUGACUGAAUGGAAAAAUUCAGUUUAGGGUUUAAAACCCUAAUACUGACUGGCUGGAAAAGUUCAAUUUAGGGUUUAAAACCCUAAUGCUGACUGAAUGGAAAAGUUCAGUUUAGGGUUUAAAACCCUAAUGCAGACUGAAUGGAAAAGUUCAGUUUAGGGUUUAAAACCUUAAUGCUGACUAAAUGGAAAAAGUUCAGUUUAGGGUUUAAAACCCUAAUGCUGACUGAAUGGAAAAGUUCAUUUAGGGUUUAAAACCCUAAUUCUGACUAAAUGGAAAAAGUUCAGUUUAGGGUUUAAGACCCUAAUGCUGACUGAAUGGAAAAGUUCUUUUAGGGUUUAAAACCCUAAUGCUGACUAAAUGGAAAAGUUCAGUUUAGGGUUUAAAACCCUAAUGCUGACUAAAUGGAAAAAGUUCAGUUUAGGGUUUAAAACCCUAAUGCUGACUGAAUGGAAAAGUUCAUUUAGGGUUUAAAACCCUAAUGCUGACUAAAUGGAAAAAGUUCAGUUUAGGGUUUAAGACCCUAAUGCUGACUGAAUGGAAAAGUUCAGUUU